GGAGGGGUGGCAGAGCGGUCGAAUGCGGCGGUCUCGAAAACCGUUAGGGGCCGUUAGGUCCCUCGAGGGUUCAAAUCCCUCCCCCUCCG
rnacentral:tRNA from 1 species